UUAAUUGAAACCAAAUAGAGGUAUAUUAUUGUUAAUAAUAAAACUGAAUGAAUAUUCCAAUUAAA
rnacentral:tRNA from 1 species